CGGGAAACUGGGGAUAAUACCCUAUAGGUUACAGAUGCUGGAAUGCUUUGUAACCGAAAGUUCCGACGCCUUAGGAUGGAUCUGCGGCCGAUUAGGUUGUUGUUGGGGUAAUGGCCCAACAAGCCCGUAAUCGGUACGGGUUGUGGGAGCAAGAGCCCGGAGUUGGAUUCUGAGACACGAAUCCAGGCCCUACGGGGCGCAGCAGGCGCGAAAACUUUACAAUGCGGGCAACCGUGAUAAGGGAACUUCGAGUGCCUGUAUAUGCAGGCUGUCCAGGUGUCUAAAACACACUUGAAGAAAGGGCCGGGCAAGACCGGUGCCAGCCGCCGCGGUAAUACCGGCGGCUCGAGUGGUGGCCACUUUUAUUGGGCUUAAAGCGUUCGUAGCUGGGUUGUUAAGUCUCUUGGGAAAUCCGGCGGCUCAACCGUCGGGCGUCUAAGGGAUACUGGCAGUCUUGGAACCGGGAGAGGUGAGGGGUACUUCGGGGGUAGGAGUGAAAUCCUGUAAUCCUCGAGGGACCACCUGUGGCGAAGGCGCCUCACCAGAACGGCUUCGACAGUGAGGGACGAAAGCUGGGGGAGCAAACCGGAUUAGAUACCCGGGUAGUCCCAGCCGUAAACGAUGUGCGUUAGGUGUAUCGAUGACCACGAGUCAUCGAGGUGCCGAAGGGAAACAGUGAAACGUACCGCCUGGGAAGUACGGU
rnacentral:rRNA from 1 species